AGUCACUGACAUUAGACUACCCCUGUACGUCCCAGCCGUAAACUAUGCGCGUUAGGUGUAUCGGUGACCACGAGUUACCGAGGUGCCGAAGGGAAACCGUGAAACGUGCCGCCUGGGAAGUACGGUCGCAAGGCUGAAACUUAAAGGAAUUGGCGGGGAGCACCACAACAGGUGGAGCCUGCGGUUUAAUUGGACUCAACGCCGGGAAGCUCACCGGAUAGGACAGCAGAAUGAUUGCCGGGCUGAAGACUCUGCAUGACUAGCUG
rnacentral:rRNA from 1 species